rnacentral:sRNA from 1 species
UGUUGCACCAGCCACAACGGGACCACUGCCUUCAGCUCCUCGGGAUGUCGUGGCCUCCCUGGUCUCUACCCGCUUCAUCAAAUUGACGUGGCGGACACCUGCAUCAGAUCCUCAUGGAGACAACCUUACCUACUCUGUGUUCUACACCAAGGAAGGGAUUGCUAGGGAACGUGUUGAGAAUACCAGUCGCCCAGGAGAGAUGCAGGUAACCAUUCAAAACCUAAUGCCAGCGACCGUGUACAUCUUUAGAGUUAUGGCUCAAAAUAAGCAUGGCUCAGGAGAGAGUUCAGCUCCACUGCGAGUA